GACGAACCGUGCGAACGUUGUUCGGAAUUACUGGGCGUAAAGGGCGCGUAGGCGGCCUGCUAAGUCGAACGUGAAAUCCCUGGGCUCAACCCAGGAACUGCGUCCGAUACUGGUUGGCUUGAAUCCGGGAGAGGGAUGUGGAAUUCCAGGUGUAGCGGUGAAAUGCGUAGAUAUCUGGAGGAACACCGGUGGCGAAGGCGACAUCCUGGACCGGCAUUGACGCUGAGGCGCGAAAGCCAGGGGAGCAAACGGG
rnacentral:rRNA from 1 species